AAGGAGGAAGAGAGAGAGAGAGAGAGAGAGAGAGAGAGAGAGAGAGAGAGAGAGAGAGAGAGAGAGAGAGAGAGAGAGAGAGAGAGAGAGAGAGAGAGACUAGAUAGCUAUACAUUAAGGUCUAACACUUGGUACAUCUAGCCCGCCAGAAAGGAAGGAUGAACAUCACAUAACCUUACUCACCUACAUACCUAUGACAAAAUUAACUCUUACUCAAAUGUUCUGGGGGAAAAUUCAUAAGUGGGCUACAAUUAAAUGACUGUCCAGGGAGGGGGAUUCCAACCCUGGCCGGCAGAUUCAUAGGUAGGCAUGCUAACCACUACACCACGGAGCCAGAAGAAUUAGCCACACUGUACCAGGACAAAUAAUUCUUAGUGUGUGCCCUGGUAAGAUUCAUAUGUGCAGCCCUGGUAGUGGUUCUUAUUAUGUAACAUAGUGAGUCAGUAUAAGGGUAUUGCUUCAUUAUGGCCCCAAGUGACUCAGUGUCGAUUUAACCCGUCCGCUGUGAUUGGCACGGAUUUGGCCUUCCCUGGUAGCCUGGUAACAUAUAGUCCCAGGUCUUUCUCUGCCUCUGUGGUGGAUAGUGGAGUGUUUCCCAUGUGGUAUUGGUGUGCUGGAUAUCCCUUCACUGGUAGCCUGGUAACAUAUAGUCCCAGGUCUUUCUCUGCCUCUGUGGUGGAUAGUGGAGUGUUUCCCAUGUGGUAUUGGUGUGCUGGAUAUCCCUUCACUGGUAGCCUGGUAACAUACAGUCCCAGGUCUUUCUCUGCCUCUGUGGUGGAUAGUGGAGUGUUUCCCAUGUGGUAUUGGUGUGCUGGAUAUCCCUUCACUGGUAGCCUGGUAACAUAUAGUCCCAUGUCUUUCUCUGCCUCUGUGGUGGAUAGUGGAGUGUUUCCCAUGUGGUAUUGGUGUGCUGGAUAUCCCUUCACUGGUAGCCUGGUAACAUACACUCCCAGGUCUUUCUCUGCCUCUGUGAUGGAUAGUGGAGUGUUUUCCCAUGUGGUAUUGGUGUGCUGGAUAUCCCCUCCCAUGGUGCAGGACUUUACAUUUUUCUUCAUUGAAUUGUAGCAGCCACUUUUUGCUCCAUUUCAGUAGCUUGGUGAUGUCUAACUGUAGGAAAUCCGCAUUCAAGGGGUUAACCUAGUAGCACAUUUAGUACGUUCUACAGGCCCCGCGGGAAUGUAAAAAAUUAGUAACUAAAUUUUUUGCCCUUAGGCACAGAAGGCCGAGACAAAAUAAUUACUCAUUUUCCCAAUUUUUUGUAAUAUUAUUAUAUAAGAUAUUACUAUAUAUAACCCAGUAGCUGCGGGGAUCAUGUCUCUUAAUGGUCCCUCUAAGCGAGAAAAAUGAAAAAAAAUCAUCCCUCACACAAACCAUUCCAUAAUAUAUAUCAAAGCAUUUGUGAUCAGAUUAUGUAUCAUCUAUUUUGGGGGGUUUAUAUCACGGCACAAAUCUGGCCCGUCGCUGCUUCCGGGAUAAGAAAAUAUAGGAAACUUCACUAGGGCAUAGUAUAAUAAGCCUGGCAUUGUAGUACACCAUAUACGGCAUAUAGUCCAGGGGUUCCCAACUGGCGGCCCGCGGUCCAGAUCCGGACUUGUGGGUGUUGCAGCUGGACCCAAGGCUCCAGCAGACAUAAACAUGUGUAAAUUGAAUAGCAUGAAGGUCCUGGCGAUGGAUUCUCUUAACCCCUUGACUACGGAUUUCCUACAAGAAGACCUCACCAAGCUACAGGAGUGGAGCAAAAAGUGGCUGCUACAAUUCAAUGAAGAAAAAUGUAGUCCUGCACCUUGGGAGGGGAUAUCCAGCACAUCAGUACCAUAUGGGAAACACUCCACUAUCCACCACAGAGGCAGAGAAAGACCUGGGAGUAUAAGUUCACCAGGCUACCAGUGAAAGCCAAAUCCGUGCCAAUUGCAGCGGACGGGUUAAAAUGUGUAUUUCCUUGACUGUCUGUAGGGUAAGUUAGGGGUGUGUAAUACAUAAUAUACUUAACCUGUUAAUGCAGAUAAAAGUUUAGUAGUAUAGAUUAUAUUAAAUAUCAAUAACAGAAAAAAGGUUUAAUGGUGGUCGAGGCACAAGUACACAGCUGAAUCUAAGUGUGAGUUUUGGCCUCUUAUCAAUAGUAUCUGUACUCAUGAGUAAGCCAGUAGUACGUUGGUAGGGUACUGAGUAUAAUAAUAUAUCGUGAUGACAAAGGGGUAUAAAAUAGUUUUUUUAUUUUCAGAAGCAACCGCUCUGCUGGUGUGUAUUCAAUAGGUGUACGUUAAGUUGCCGGCACAUUUACAGACCAGCAUUCGAGGGGUUAUCAUAACAUUAAGUAAAGAUAAAUCUGCAGCGAAUGUUGGCCUGUCAAUAUACUGCAAACUUGACGUACCUUAUAUAUUUUGGGAAAUAUUGGAUCAAUGCUGUUGCGGUCCAACCCGGCUGUACUGUUGCUGGAUCUCAACAAGACCUUUACGAGAUGACAUUGUAUCGUCUGAGAGUUGAUAAUUCUUUUGGGUCUUGUUCUCCUAAUGUCGAGAUCGCGUUGAAGAUUUAUUUAACUCUAAUGGUUACCAACUGCAGUGGUGAACGCUCCUUUCCAAAAUUAACUAGACUCAAGAAGUAAGAGUCAGUAUGGUUCAAACAAGAUUGAACCACCUCUCUCUAAUGAGUAUUGAGCAGCACGAGUUACUGAGGGAAAUUAGCACGUCAAGGAUACAACUGAGGAGUUUUCUGUUGCCAAGUCUCGUAAGUGCUUCAUGUGAGCCACGUUGGUCUGCACUCAGUUCAGCAAAUGGUUCCAAGAUUCUCCAAGGCAGCACUAAUAGUCUACUGGCUAAGCUACUGCCUGCUAUGUAUGGUGUUCUUAUUUAAAAAGGAAUAAAAAGUGUACAAAAUAAA